AUUAAACGCUGGCGGCAUGCCUUACACAUGCAAGUCGAACGGCAGCACGGGGGCAACCCUGGUGGCGAGUGGCGAACGGGUGAGUAAAGCAUCGGAACGUGCCCUGGAGUGGGGGAUAACGUAGCGAAAGUUACGCUAAUACCGCAUAUUCUGUGAGCAGGAAAGCAGGGGAUCGCAAGACCUUGCGCUCUGGGAGCGACCGAUGUCGGAUUAGCUAGUUGGUGGGGUAAAGGCCUACCAAGGCGACGAUCCGUAGCGGGUCUGAGAGGAUGAUCCGCCACACUGGGACUGAGACACGGCCCAGACUCCUACGGGAGGCAGCAGUGGGGAAUUUUGGACAAUGGGCGAAAGCCUGAUCCAGCCAUGCCGCGUGAGUGAAGAAGGCC
rnacentral:rRNA from 1 species